CGGCUCCCGCCCCUCCCCCUGCGGGCUCUCACCCGGCCCCUGGGUCCUACUGCCCCGCAUCGGGAUGGGCACUGGGAACCCCCACCAGAGAGGCCGGGGACCGAAUCGCACGACUAGCAUUGCUCGCGGAGACUCCGAAUUUUUGAGGUGCUAAAGACAGAGCUGAGAACAGAACAAAGUCCCUGCUAUCAAGAUGUACAUUAUGAGGAGGAAACAUGCAGGUGCAUCCUUGGAUCCUGGAGAACGAAUGAAUCCCAGCACCCAGUGGAUGAAUCAUCUGAGGCCCUGGCAGCAGGGGUCGGGGGAGAGACCUUUCUGGCCACCCCAGUGUGGCGAUGGUGACUAACUUGGAAGUCUGGGUUAGGUGCUGCUGCUCGAAGUCUGAUUAGGACUGUGAGAAAUCUUACAUUCGAAGAGUUUCAGACUCUUUGACUCAGGGUCAAAGAAUUAGGGAGGACUUGAAUCCUGAAGUGACCAUGAUAGAAGGUGAUAUCUUCCUUGAGCCCUCAUGGGAUCUUUGAAUCCAUCUAAGGAAUCUUCGAGUGUUAAAUCUCAUAGUCAGAGACUCUUAGAAGAAAAGAAGCCUCGGCUGCGGGCUGCAAGGCAUCUCAGAGGUCAUGGAGUCCUGCGUGCAGCCCCAGGCUGAAGCCUCUCUACAGUAUCCCAAAGGCAAGCACUCAGCACCUCCAAGAACAGGGAGUUCGAGUCCCACAGAGCCAGUUCAGUAUUCUUUCUUAGGAUAGGUCUGAUCAUUAACACAUUGUCUCUCUA